CAGCCUGGGCAACAGAGCAAGAUCCCAUCGCAAAAAAAAAAAAUUAAAAUUAAAAAAAAUUAAUCCUUAUGAUGCCACAGUAGACCUUGAUCUGGAAGAUGUGACUGCUGACCUAUCCUGCCUCCUUGGGUCUGAUACAAACAAGCCGAGUGGGAACUGGCAAAAGGGCACGGCUAGGUGUACCUAUGUGACUAAUGUCCAACCAAUGGAAAGUAAGUGGAAGCGUUAGGUGCGAUUUCAUAAAGGGAGAGUGGUACUCUUUUUUGCUUCUUCCACCUCAUGACAGCUCAAAUGCAGACAUAAUGGCAAGACUCAAGCCGCCAUAUUGGAGUGUGGGGUAAAAGCCACUCACUGAGGACAGCAGAACUGGAUAGACGUCUCCUGAGUCCUUGAUAAUUAUGGAGGCACCACGCUAGCCUUGGACAGCCUAUCUCUGGAAUGUGUGUGAAGUUUGUGUUUCAUAAUGUUGCUGUAAUUUUGGGUGCUCUAUUACUCAAGAGUGAAUCUAAUCCUCGCUAAAUCAGAGGUGUCACACGUCGUGCCACUACUCAUUAAUUUGGGGCAUUAGAUUUACUUUCAAAUUGUUGUUAUUCUAAAUAGCAUAACAUGAACCUCUUUAUGUAAAAAACUCAA